GGCUCGGAUUCCCCGCCCUACGUGCCCCUGCCGCCCUCGCCGGAGCCGCCCACCCCAAGCCGCAGCCCCCGUCCCGGCGCCGCGCCCGGCAGCCGUGCUCCGCCUCUGCCCCCCUUCUACCUCCCUGACCCCAGCCCCGAGCCGGCCACCAUGCCCACAUCACCACCGCCCGUGUACGGUGCCCCUCCGCCGUCGCCGGAGCCUCCCACUCCUGUUGACACGCCGGCCGUGUCCCCUCAGCCCAGCCGCAGCCCUCGUCCCGGCGCCGCGCCUGGCAGCCGUGCUCCGCCUCUGCCCCCCUUCUACCUCCCUGACCCCAGCCCCGAGCCCGCCACCAUGCCCACAUCACCACCGCCCGUGUACGGUGCCCCUCCGCCGUCGCCGGAGCCUCCCACUCCUGUUGACACGCCGGCCGUGUCCCCUCAGCCCAGCCGCAGCCCCCGUCCCGGCGCCGCGCCCGGCAGCCGUGCUCCGCCUCUGCCCCCCUUCGACCUCCCUGACCCCAGCCCCGAGCCCGCCAGCAUGCCCACAUCGCCACCGCCCGUGUACGGUGCCCCUCCGCCGUCGCCGGAGCCUCCCACUCCUGUUGACACGCCGGCCGUGUCCCCUCAGCCCAGCCGCAGCCCUCGUCCCGGCGCCGCGCCCGGCAGCCGUGCUCCACCUCUGCCCCCCUUCUACCUCCCUGACCCCAGCCCCGAGCCCGCCACCAUGCCCACAUCACCACCGCCCGUGUACGGUGCCUCUCCGCCGUCGCCGGAGCCUCCCACUCCUGUUGACACGCCGGCCGUGUCCCCUCAGCCCAGCCGCAGCCCCCGUCCCGGCGCCGCGCCCGGCAGCCGUGCUCCGCCUCUGCCCCCCUUCGACCUCCCUGACCCCAGCCCCGAGCCCGCCACUAUGCCCACAGCGCCGCCGCCCGUGUACGGUGCCCCUCCGCCCGACACCCUGCCCGGCGGCGGCUACCCGACGUUGCCUCUGGGCACCCCGCCG
rnacentral:lncRNA from 1 species